GUUUCCUUUCUUUGUAAGUCGCUUUGGAUAAAAGCGUCAGCUAAAUGACUAAAU
rfam:Larimichthys crocea isolate SSNF unplaced genomic scaffold scaffold123, whole genome shotgun sequence.